ensembl:scaRNA SCARNA2 small Cajal body-specific RNA 2
CUUUAGCGGAGGGAGCGGCCUGGGGUGAGGGCAGAAAGUAGUGUGCGGCUGUGUCGCGUGGAAGGCGUGUGCGAGCCGAGUGUAAGUGGACGUGUGAGUGUGUGAGCGCGCGUGGGUCGUGCAAGACGAGUGCGUGCGCCCCCCCUUGCGCUCCUUCUCCCGCCUACACAUUGAUCUUAUUUGAUCGGUUUGGGACCCCAGCCCCGCCGGGCCGACCCGAAAUGAAAAGCUCCCUCCUGCGAAGCCCCCUCCUCGGAGGCGCUGUGCAGCGAGGCCCCUAAGGCGGAGGCAACGCCGCGGUCCCGGAGGUCCGGGAGCUGGUCCUACCGGGCCCGGCGCUCAGAAGUGAUGAAUUGAUCAGAUAGACGAGGCCGGGCUUGUCCUGGGCCGCUGAUUAUCGAGGCGAUUCUGAUCUGA